rnacentral:lncRNA from 1 species
AUAUGGAAUAAUUAAAAAUAUAUAUAAAUUUUAUAUAGUAUUACUAAAUUUCUGUAAUUGAUAACUGUUUUUUUUUUUUUUAUUUCCUAUAAUGUAUUUUUUAUUUUUCAAGAAGCAUUAUUGUUAUUUUAAAUGAAGAAAAUAUGCCAUUUAAAUUACUAUAUUUUCAUUAUUUUGAUCACUAUAUUCAGUAGGGAUAUUCAAAUUAGUCAACAGUCUGUUCGCUUAAAUUUGAUGUCGGGGGAAUCGAGAGAAUUCUAUCUGGUCAAAAAGGCUCUUAAAAUAACUGAUUGUUUUAUAAAACAUUGUACCGGUUACUGGUUAACGCGCUAUUAUGAAAGAUGUACGCUUGAAUUAUACUAGCAUGUAUUAAAGGACACACUACCAGUUCAAGUUAUUCGACAGAUUUAUUAUAUCAUUAAAGAAAAAAUCGUCGAAAUAAUUUAAACAUUCG